rnacentral:rRNA from 1 species
UACGAAGGGGGCUAGCGUUGCUCGGAAUCACUGGGCGUAAAGCGCACGUAGGCGGAUUGUUAAGUCAGGGGUGAAAUCCUGGAGCUCAACUCCAGAACUGCCUUUGAUACUGGCGAUCUUGAGUCCGGGAGAGGUGAGUGGAACUGCGAGUGUAGAGGUGAAUUCGUAGAUAUUCGCAAGAACACCAGUGGCGAAGGCGGCUCACUGGCCCGGUACUGACCGCUGAGGUGCGAAAGCGUGGGGAGCAACGG